rnacentral:rRNA from 1 species
AUUGAACGCUGGCGGCAUGCCUUACACAUGCAAGUCGAACGGUAACAGGUCUUCGGAUGCUGGCGAGUGGCGAACGGGUGAGUAAUACAUCGGAACGUGCCUAGUAGUGGGGGAUAACUACUCGAAAGAGUGGCUAAUACCGCAUGAGAUCUACGGAUGAAAGCAGGGGAUCGCAAGACCUUGUGCUACUAGAGCGGCCGAUGGCAGAUUAGGUAGUUGGUGGGAAAAAAGCUUACCAAGCCGACGAUCUGUAGCUGGUCUGAGAGGACGAACAGCCACACUGGGACUGAGACACGGCCAAGACUCCAACGGGAGGCAGCAGUGGGGAAUUUUGGACAAUGGGCGCAAGCCUGAUCCAGCAAUGCCGCGUGCAGGGUGAAGGCCUUCGGGUUGUAAACUGCUUUUGUACGGAACGAAAAGCCCUGGGUUAAUACCCUGGGGUCAUGACGGUACCGUAAGAAUAAGCACCGGCUAACUACGUGCCAGCCGCCGCGGUAAAAC